GGAGGAAGAGAAAGAAAAUUCGAUUCCCUUAGUAGCGGCGAGCGAAACGGGAAGAGCCCAAACCAACAAGCUUGCUUGUUGGGGUUGUAGGACACUCUAUACGGAGUUACAAAGGACGACAUUAGACGAAUCAUCUGGAAAGAUGAAUCAAAGAAGGUAAUAAUCCUGUAGUCGAAAAUGUUGUCUCUCUUGAGUGGAUCCUGAGUACGACGGAGCACGUGAAAUUCCGUCGGAAUCUGGGAGGACCAUCUCCUAAGGCUAAAUACUCUCUAGUGACCGAUAGUGAACCAGUACCGUGAGGGAAAGGUGAAAAGCACCCCGGAAGGGGAGUGAAAUAGAACCUGAAACCGUGUGCUUACAAGUAGUCAGAGCCCGUUAAUGGGUGAUGGCGUGCCUUUUGUAGAAUGAACCGGCGAGUUACGAUUUGAUGCAAGGUUAAGCAGUAAAUGUGGAGCCGUAGCGAAAGCGAGUCUGAAUAGGGCGUUUAGUAUUUGGUCGUAGACCCGAAACCAGGUGAUCUACCCUUGGUCAGGUUGAAGUUCAGGUAACACUGAAUGGAGGACCGAACCGACUUACGUUGAAAAGUGAGCGGAUGAACUGAGGGUAGCGGAGAAAUUCCAAUCGAACCUGGAGAUAGCUGGUUCUCUCCGAAAUAGCUUUAGGGCUAGCCUCAAGUGAUGAUUAUUGGAGGUAGAGCACUGUUUGGACGAGGGGCCCCUCUCGGGUUACCGAAUUCAGACAAACUCCGAAUGCCAAUUAAUUUAACUUGGGAGUCAGAACAUGGGUGAUAAGGUCCGUGUUCGAAAGGGAAACAGCCCAGACCACCAGCUAAGGUCCCAAAAUAUAUGUUAAGUGGAAAAGGAUGUGGCGUUGCCCAGACAACUAGGAUGUUGGCUUAGAAGCAGCCAUCAUUUAAAGAGUGCGUAAUAGCUCACUAGUCGAGUGACACUGCGCCGAAAAUGUACCGGGGCUAAACAUAUUACCGAAGCUGUGGAUUGUCCUUUGGACAAUGGUAGGAGAGCGUUCUAAGGGCGUUGAAGCAUGAUCGUAAGGACAUGUGGAGCGCUUAGAAGUGAGAAUGCCGGUGUGAGUAGCGAAAGACGGGUGAGAAUCCCGUCCACCGAUUGACUAAGGUUUCCAGAGGAAGGCUCGUCCGCUCUGGGUUAGUCGGGUCCUAAGCUGAGGCCGACAGGCGUAGGCGAUGGAUAACAGGUUGAUAUUCCUGUACCACCUAUAAUCGUUUUAAUCGAUGGGGGGACGCAGUAGGAUAGGCGAAGCGUGCGAUUGGAUUGCACGUCUAAGCAGUAAGGCUGAGUAUUAGGCAAAUCCGGUACUCGUUAAGGCUGAGCUGUGAUGGGGAGAAGACAUUGUGUCUUCGAGUCGUUGAUUUCACACUGCCGAGAAAAGCCUCUAGAUAGAAAAUAGGUGCCCGUACCGCAAACCGACACAGGUAGUCAAGAUGAGAAUUCUAAGGUGAGCGAGCGAACUCUCGUUAAGGAACUCGGCAAAAUGACCCCGUAACUUCGGGAGAAGGGGUGCUCUUUAGGGUUAACGCCCAGAAGAGCCGCAGUGAAUAGGCCCAAGCGACUGUUUAUCAAAAACACAGGUCUCUGCUAAACCGUAAGGUGAUGUAUAGGGGCUGACGCCUGCCCGGUGCUGGAAGGUUAAGAGGAGUGGUUAGCUUCUGCGAAGCUACGAAUCGAAGCCCCAGUAAACGGCGGCCGUAACUAUAACGGUCCUAAGGUAGCGAAAUUCCUUGUCGGGUAAGUUCCGACCCGCACGAAAGGCGUAACGAUUUGGGCACUGUCUCAACGAGAGACUCGGUGAAAUCAUAGUACCUGUGAAGAUGCAGGUUACCCGCGACAGGACGGAAAGACCCCGUGGAGCUUUACUGUAGCCUGAUAUUGAAAUUCGGCACAGCUUGUACAGGAUAGGUAGGAGCCUUUGAAACGUGAGCGCUAGCUUACGUGGAGGCGCUGGUGGGAUACUACCCUAGCUGUGUUGGCUUUCUAACCCGCACCACUUAUCGUGGUGGGAGACAGUGUCAGGCGGGCAGUUUGACUGGGGCGGUCGCCUCCUAAAAGGUAACGGAGGCGCUCAAAGGUUCCCUCAGAAUGGUUGGAAAUCAUUCAUAGAGUGUAAAGGCAUAAGGGAGCUUGACUGCGAGACCUACAAGUCGAGCAGGGUCGAAAGACGGACUUAGUGAUCCGGUGGUUCCGCAUGGAAGGGCCAUCGCUCAACGGAUAAAAGCUACCCCGGGGAUAACAGGCUUAUCUCCCCCAAGAGUUCACAUCGACGGGGAGGUUUGGCACCUCGAUGUCGGCUCAUCGCAUCCUGGGGCUGUAGUCGGUCCCAAGGGUUGGGCUGUUCGCCCAUUAAAGCGGUACGCGAGCUGGGUUCAGAACGUCGUGAGACAGUUCGGUCCCUAUCCGUCGUGGGCGUAGGAAAUUUGAGAGGAGCUGUCCUUAGUACGAGAGGACCGGGAUGGACAUACCUCUGGUGUACCAGUUGUCGUGCCAACGGCAUAGCUGGGUAGCUAUGUGUGGACGGGAUAAGUGCUGAAAGCAUCUAAGCAUGAAGCCCCCCUCAAGAUGAGAUUUCCCAACUUCGGUUAU
rnacentral:rRNA from 1 species